GAGCGGGUAUAUUUACAGGCGUACGUUUCCUCGUCUGUCUAUUUUCUCGGAUAGUGAUGUAAAACGGAUCUGUGGGCGACGUGGAGAGGAGGCGGUAGAGAACAGGGGAAAAGGAAGUGUCGAGUGGUACCGGGCAGGGCGGGGUGGGAAUGACGUUCAACGGGGAUACGAGCGGUGUUUGGAAAACCAGACAGGCGGAGCCGUAGUUCGGGCAAACCGAGUGAUGACGACGACGACUCCCCGCUGAGUUGGUAGCGGUUGCAUUACUUUGAUCACCGGGCGCAUUAAACGAAA
rnacentral:misc_RNA from 1 species